rnacentral:rRNA from 1 species
GACGAACGCUGGCGGCGGGCUUAACACAUGCAAGUCGAACGGAAAGGCCCUGCUUUUGUGGGGUGCUCGAGUGGCGAACGGGUGAGUAACACGUGAGUAACCUGCCCUUGACUUUGGGAUAACUUCAGGAAACUGGGGCUAAUACCGGAUAGGAGCUCCUGCUGCAUGGUGGGGGGUGGAAAGUUUCGGCGGUUGGGGAUGGACUCGCGGCUUAUCAGCUUGUUGGUGGGGUAGUGGCUGACCAAGGCUUUGACGGGUAGCCGGCCUGAGAGGGUGACCGGCCACAUUGGGACUGAGAUACGGCCCAGACUCCUACGGGAGGCAGCAGUGGGGAAUAUUGCACAAUGGGCGGAAGCCUGAUGCAGCAACGCCGCGUGCGGGAUGACGGCCUUCGGGGUGUAAACCGCUUUCGCCUGUGACGAAGCGUGAGUGACGGUAAUGGGUAAAGAAGCACCGGCUAACUACGUG